rnacentral:rRNA from 1 species
UACGAAGGGGGGCUAGCGUUGCUCGGAAUCACUGGGCGUAAAGCGCACGUAGGCGGCUUUCUAAGUCAGGGGUGAAAUCCUGGAGCUCAACUCCAGAACUGCCUUUGAUACUGGAGAGCUUGAGUCCGGGAGAGGUGAGUGGAACUCCGAGUGUAGAGGUGAAAUUCGUAGAGAUGUGGAGGAACACCAAUGGCGAAGGCAGCCUUCUGGGCCAACACUGACGCUCAUGCACGAAAAGCGUGGGGAGCAAACAGG